rnacentral:rRNA from 1 species
UACAGAGGUCUCAAGCGUUGUUCGGAUUCAUUGGGCGUAAAGGGUGCGUAGGCGGCGCGGUAAGUCGGGGUGUGAAAUCUCGGAGCUUAACUCCGAAACUGCAUUCGAUACUGCCGUGCUUGAGGACUGGAGAGGAGACUGGAAUUUACGGUGUAGCGGUGAAAUGCGUAGAUAUCGUAAGGAAGACCAGUGGCGAAGGCGGGUCUCGUGGACAGUUCCUGACGCUGAGGCACGAAGGUCAGGGGAGCAAACGGG